AUACAUGAAGCAAAAUCUCAACUUUAUUAGAAGAGACGCAUUUAUUAGAUAAAAAGCCAAUGCAUGCUUUUACAGUAUGGAAAUUGGUGAUUUAUAAUAACUUGGCAAAUCGCAAAGUGAAAACAGGCGAUAAAUCAUUCAAGUUUCUGACCUAUCAGCUUUCGACGGUAUGGUAUUGGCUUACCGUGGCAGUGACGGUUAACGGGGGAUUAGGGUUCGAUUCCGGAGAGGGAGCCUGAGAAACGGCUACCACAUCUAAGGAAGGCAGCAGGCGCGCAAAUUACCCAAUUCUAACAGUUUGAGAGAGGUAGUAACAAGAAAUAACAAUACAAGGCAAUUAAAAUGCUUUGUAAUUGGAAUGAUAGAAAUUUAAACCCCUUUUAAAGUAUCAAUUGGAGGGCAAGUCUGGUGCCAGCAGCCGCGGUAAUUCCAGCUCCAAUAGCGUAUAUUAAAAUUGUUGCAGUUAAAAAGCUCGUAGUUGAAGUUCUGCUAAAAGUAACCGGUCUGCUUUUAAUAAAAGUGGUAUCUUGGUGUGUAUUUAGCAAUGAUGUCCUUUGAAGUGUUUUUUACUUUAUUGUAAUAAAGCAUAUUCAGGACUUUUACUUUGAGAAAAUUAGAGUGUUUCUAGCAGGCCGACGCUUUGAAUACUGCAGCAUGGAAUAAUAAGGA
rnacentral:rRNA from 1 species